GUUUCUAUGGUUGAAGUACAACGAUGGUUUUUCAUGCCAUUGGUCUUGGGUAGUCCAAGUAGAAAUA
rnacentral:tRNA from 1 species